rnacentral:lncRNA from 1 species
CUGCAAUGUCUAUGUCGGAACUCUCGACACUUUUAUCGAAGAGAGGGAAGCUUUAACACAGACAGUGCCUUUCAACGGUGGGAACUUCGAACAUGGAUCUGCUCCUGAGUUAUGGCAAAUAGACCUGAGGUCGCAGUUUCCAACUCUCUUUGUUCCUUACAAAGAGACUCGAGUCCCGGUUCCUCAUUCUGAGACUGUUGACAAGUGCACUGGUAAGACUCUUUCUUAUGUCUUUAGUGAUUGUUAGGAUGAUGCUGAAGAGGGCAUUUUUGAUUAAUAGGUUGCGGAGGAAGAGGAGAAGUAGUGUGUCCAACGUGCAAUGCUGAUGGAGAGCCUGGGUUUUACAAGGAGAAUCAGGUGAUGAAGUGUUCUAAGUGUUAUGGAAGAGGUUUGAUUGCUCAUAAAGAUGGAUCUGACUCAAUGUAAAGUCUCAUUUCAAGAACUCGAAACUUUCAGUCUGUCUGAUGAGUGCAUAUGCAAACUGUAAACCUUCUUUUUUUUUUCUCACAGAUGUGGAGAAUGUAAUGGUGGGGGAAAGCUUCCUUGUCCGAAUUGCCAAUCUCGUGGGUUAGUCAAAUGCGAGACUUGUGACGGUUCUGGCUCUCUUCUGACAAGCAGCAUUGCAGUUGUAAAAUGGUAAGGUCUUUUAUCAGUAAAUGAAAUUUGGUCUGAGUGGCAAACUAAAAGAUAAACAUAGGCAUUUCGGGUAUUGGUUCGGGUUUUAGUUGGGUAGUUUGGGUCUAAUACCCGGAAAAAAUUGGUUUCCGUUUGUUCGGUUCGGUUAUUUCGGGUAAUUUGGUAAAAUAUUGGGUACGUCGGAUAAAAUAUUGAGUAAUUAGGAUGAUUCGGAUAGAAUAAUUUGGAUUAUUUUAGAUAUUUAGGAUUAAAGUAUUCAAAUACUUUUGGAUACUGAUAAUAGCUUUUUAAUAUAUAUUUAGGUAUGUUAAAAAUAUCUUUAGAUAUUGGUUCGGUUUUCGGUGCAGUUAUUUUAGAUAUAGAAAUAUAGGAACUGUUCGGUUAUUCCACGGUUUUAGUAUUUCUUUUCCAGUUCUGGUUAUUUUUUGCCCAAGCCUACUAAAAGACUUGAUUUUUAUUUUUGCGUUUCGACAGGAAGACACUGUCAAAGCGAAAGGUGAGUGCAACGAGAGGAGCUGGCUCUGUACCAGAAGAAGUGUUUCACAGAGCAGAAGGUGUUCAGCUUUGCAACACACAAGCUUACCAGUGCACACCAGCUUACUUUGCAGACUCAUACUUCCUAAACAAGUUCUCCUCAGAAGUCAUCUCGUUGAGAGCUGAAGUUCCACCAACGGCGAAUGUUGUCUGCGAGAGGCACGCCAUAUCUGUUGUGCCUGUGACACGCGUCACGAUGGAAGAUCGUGGGAAAGCCUUCAACUUUUACAUUAUCGGUUUUGGUAAAGAGAUUUACAUGAAAGAUUAUUACCCAGCUAGGUUCUGCUGGGGGUUGUGUCCUUGUCUUGAGUGGUUAAAAGUUUGAAAACACACAGAGUUGGUCUUUUGAACUUCUCUACUUUGAAUGUAAGAAACACGGAAUAAGGAAAGAGAUUGCAUGUACACAAAACAUAGCAUCAUUAGCAUGCAAUGCAAUGUGUGGUUUAUACAUAUAUAUGAUAGUUUGAAAAUGUGUACAUGAUGAUAGUCUUAACUAAUCCUAAGAAGUGAAAAAGUGAAGAACAAGAGGACAUCAACGGGACUUGUCCGUAUUAAUUCUCCUCUCACUGGAACCUUUUUGUAACAAGAGUAGGCUUCUGGUUUGGUUCUCGGUUCAAUUCAGCAAUUAAAGAAAAAUAAUCUUCGGUUCAGUAAACCGUUAGUCCACAUUUUCUUUUAAAAUAUUUUUCUUUACCAAACUAAUAUAAAAAUUCAAAUCAAACUAACUAAACUUAACCUAAUUUAAAAAAAUAUUUAACUAGUGGUGGGUCUCCAAGAUCCUUUCGACGACCUUUUAAACCGGAAUUUAAUCAAUUCAAAAAUUUUGGUUAAAUUCAGUAUAAAUUUUGAAACUAAACUAACCGGAAAUCAAACCAAUUUUUCCGGUUCAAUUUACAGGCAAACCAAACUAAAUGAAUUCCAAACUAACCAACUCGAAAAGACCAAACUAACAGAAUCCAAAUGCCUACAAGAUAGAUUGCUUUCUACAAACUUAUAGUUCUAAAUUGUGUUCUGGUAUACGAAAUAAAAUCUUGUAACAUCUUGUUAUGAGAUAGGGAGAGCAGUAAAUAAAACAAGGUGGGAGUCUCUUCACUUGGCUUUGUUGGCAUAAGGCUUCUUCUUGGUAAUAUCUUUCUUAGCUUUCAACUUAUCUGAUCAUUUAGGAUUAAAGUAUUCAAAUACUUUUGGAUACUGAUAAUAGCUUUUUAAUAUAUAUUUAGGUAUGUUAAAAAUAUCUUUAGAUAUUGGUUCGGUUUUCGGUGCAGUUAUUUUAGAUAUAGAAAUAUAGGAACUGUUCGGUUAUUCCACGGUUUUAGUAUUUCUUUUCCAGUUCUGGUUAUUUUUUGCCCAAGCCUACUAAAAGACUUGAUUUUUAUUUUUGCGUUUCGACAGGAAGACACUGUCAAAGCGAAAGGUGAGUGCAACGAGAGGAGCUGGCUCUGUACCAGAAGAAGUGUUUCACAGAGCAGAAGGUGUUCAGCUUUGCAACACACAAGCUUACCAGUGCACACCAGCUUACUUUGCAGACUCAUACUUCCUAAACAAGUUCUCCUCAGAAGUCAUCUCGUUGAGAGCUGAAGUUCCACCAACGGCGAAUGUUGUCUGCGAGAGGCACGCCAUAUCUGUUGUGCCUGUGACACGCGUCACGAUGGAAGAUCGUGGGAAAGCCUUCAACUUUUACAUUAUCGGUUUUGGUAAAGAGAUUUACAUGAAAGAUUAUUACCCAGCUAGGUUCUGCUGGGGGUUGUGUCCUUGUCUUGAGUGGUUAAAAGUUUGAAAACACACAGAGUUGGUCUUUUGAACUUCUCUACUUUGAAUGUAAGAAACACGGAAUAAGGAAAGAGAUUGCAUGUACACAAAACAUAGCAUCAUUAGCAUGCAAUGCAAUGUGUGGUUUAUACAUAUAUAUGAUAGUUUGAAAAUGUGUACAUGAUGAUAGUCUUAACUAAUCCUAAGAAGUGAAAAAGUGAAGAACAAGAGGACAUCAACGGGACUUGUCCGUAUUAAUUCUCCUCUCACUGGAACCUUUUUGUAACAAGAGUAGGCUUCUGGUUUGGUUCUCGGUUCAAUUCAGCAAUUAAAGAAAAAUAAUCUUCGGUUCAGUAAACCGUUAGUCCACAUUUUCUUUUAAAAUAUUUUUCUUUACCAAACUAAUAUAAAAAUUCAAAUCAAACUAACUAAACUUAACCUAAUUUAAAAAAAUAUUUAACUAGUGGUGGGUCUCCAAGAUCCUUUCGACGACCUUUUAAACCGGAAUUUAAUCAAUUCAAAAAUUUUGGUUAAAUUCAGUAUAAAUUUUGAAACUAAACUAACCGGAAAUCAAACCAAUUUUUCCGGUUCAAUUUACAGGCAAACCAAACUAAAUGAAUUCCAAACUAACCAACUCGAAAAGACCAAACUAACAGAAUCCAAAUGCCUACAAGAUAGAUUGCUUUCUACAAACUUAUAGUUCUAAAUUGUGUUCUGGUAUACGAAAUAAAAUCUUGUAACAUCUUGUUAUGAGAUAGGGAGAGCAGUAAAUAAAACAAGGUGGGAGUCUCUUCACUUGGCUUUGUUGGCAUAAGGCUUCUUCUUGGUAAUAUCUUUCUUAGCUUUCAACUUAUCUGAUCUCCCUGACUUCUUCUUCUCCUUCUUGUCGUUGUACAUGUUUAUCGCCUAACUCACAUAUACAAAUAAUAUCAGAGGCAAGAGACCAAAACCAGAGAGAGAGAGAGAUGAGAAGUUUUUUCGAUUAUACCUUUCCAACAUUGAGGAUCUCAUGUGAAUGCUUAGAUAAUAACUUGCCAAGUACUUUAUUAGUCUGUUCUUUUUCUUCGUCAACCAUUCCGUACCUUGGUACAACCGGUAAAUACUGCAAAAAAAUCCCCACAAAUUAGAAAAUACAAAUUGACUAAAAGGGAAGGUGAAGAUGACUGAUGAGUGAUGACUAACCUUGUGGUGUUUGCCUUGCUUCUUAGGAGGUUUUUCACCAGGCAAUUUUUUUUAUCGAAUUUACCACCACUAGCGGUUGAUGUAGCAGCUAAACCUGCUACAUCACCAAGUGCAUCCUUUCCAAUUUUCUGUGGCUGAGUUUUGGUGCCUGAUAUGGGCGAUGCAGUUACAGCAAGUUGGACAUGGCUGCAAGUAAAACCAUUUUUGAUAUCUAGUUAUCAAAACCAUGUAACAUGUUGUAUGAUGCUUACUAACCAAUAAAAGAAGUUGUUAAUAUUACCUCGGUAAAGCACCAGCUUUUGCAGCAGUCUUCAAGUUCUGUAAUCGAUUCUUUUCUUGCUUUCCAACUCUCUUCUUUUUAUCAUCUAGUCUCUUGGCAAAAGGGUCUUCUCCUGGUUCUGCAGUUAAGCGAACUUGGUUUCAUCAAGAAACUAACAACAUAAUCUAAAGCAAAAGAUAAGAAAUUGUUCUUUUUUUAGCGCAGGACUUACCAUCUAAUGCCUUUGCUUCAGCUGCUGCGCCUUUGUUAUCUCCACUAAUCAAAGAGUUAGUCCUGCUCAUGGAAGUCCCAUGAGUAGCAAACCAGUUAAAGCUACCAAUAGGUCCCAACUUUGAAUCGACAAACUUGAGGAGCGUCAUUUCUUUGUCGACGUUAUACUUAUAUUUGCUCCUCUCAUCUGCAGGGUUGUUCAGAUAAGAACUAGGACUUCUGUUCACACCAGCAUCCAAAAGGUCCCCUAAUAUUUACACACACACAUAAAGUGAUUUAACUAAAGCAAGAACUUAAUUUGUCUGAAAGCACCCUUAAAGAAGCCAAUUUUUAAAAAAUCGCUAUGCGGUAGUCAGGCGGUUUAUAUGAGAUUAUUGAUUAGGCAGAACAGACUUUUUAAAUGUCUAGAUCGAUUUUUAUUUAAUGUCAAGACCGAUUUAAAAAAAAAAUUGUUUUAGAAAAAUAGUUUCGUUUAGAUUCGAUUUGUCAACUAGGCAGAUGCUUACAAGCCACUAUACCGAUUUUUAGAACACUAUAAGACAAAAGAAAGUACCUUUGUUGACAAAAACAGAACCAGGACGUAGACUUUGGUGAGCUUGCAUGAUGGCUUGCUCAAUGCCAUCAACAAGAACGUCAAAAGACUGACGAACGAAUCCAAGGGACGUGACAAUGUAAGUGACGUACUGAAGAUACCCUCCUGGUCCAGCAUGAGUGUGGAUCCCACUUAUUGCAACGUUCUUCUCUGUGUAAAGAUCACCAUAUCUACAAAAUGAAAUUAUUACAACAUUCUUGUAGAUUAGUUCAAAAUAACACUGACACUGUGCUUAUUGGUCGUUACCUUGCCUUGAGUCGCUCAAGAACUUUGAUGGUAACGAUCUGAGACGCCAUACACGCGUCAAGAUUCACAAACGCGACGCGGUUACCUUGAGGCUCAGCGACGAUGAAGGCACGAGCUCGCAGACGGAAAUGGAUCCCUGAGGCGAUUUGCUCGGAGUUAGCGUAUCCCAUCAUGUUGACGUCAGCGGCUGGACCGGUGAUGUCAUAGCUUCCCACGCCGAUUAAGUACUCGGAAGACGAAAGAACGGCUCUAGUUAAGAGAAGAGACAGUAGAAACUGAAACGACAAUGGAACUGAGACAGCCAUGUUUUGGAGAGAGGAGGAAGAAGGGAGAGUAGUGAUAGAUCUUUAAGAGGAGAAAGAUUUCACACGAGAAGUGAUUGUGAGAGAGAAUACGCCAUGAAAGAUUGAAACUUUGCAAAAGCGUGAGUGGGAGAGAGAGAGAAAAGGUGAAUAAAAUUUUCAAAUGUGGAAGCGAGUGGAUGUCGGUAGUGAAACUUCACACUCUGUCAAACCUUAUUUGUUUCUAUUUAUACUAAUCUUGUAUAUUAUGGUUUCAUAUUAGUUUAAAUAGAUCGUGUUUAUUACUGACUAAUUAUCUAUGGUUUGAUGAUGAUGAUAUUAGUUUUUUUACGCGUUUAACGCAUACAUCCUCGAAAUGAGGUUCUUGACAAUAGAUUAAUUUUAUUUUAAUGUUAUUUGAAAAUCAAGCCAAGCCACUUAAAAUCUGGCACAACAUGGUUAGCGAGAUUUCCUCGGAGAACCCGUUUCUUGUUUCUGUCCACUUUUUCAAUUAUUCUCCUAAAUCUAUUAAAAUCUCCACCAAUGACCUUGCUCUAAAAUGCAUCCAAAAUACUACAUAACUAUCACAUUAAAUUUUGUACUAUGGAAAAAGGAGAUGAACAUAGUUACUGCAGAGGUUACAAAUACUAGUAUUGGUUUUUAUAAAUUGUUUGAAUUGAAUAAUAACAUGUUUUAGUUGUUGAUACGCACCCAUCACCCAUGUGAUUCCUCUUGGAGCUGCAUACAUCCAUGUGAACGUGUUAAAACUCUUUGCUUGUCUUGGUAAUAAACUCUUAAAGACGUUCAGUCAUUGACCAUACAUAAGUGGCAAGUGCAAUAAUCAUUCUCUGAUACACGUACUUGCAAAAUCAGAGGUGGGUGAAAUCCUCAACCGUUUCACACGGAAACAAACUUAAUGACCCGAUCUUAUCCGGAUCCGACCAGACUCAACCCGACAAGUAAAUCUCUUCCGUCCCUGUUUCGUGUAAUGAUCACGAGAAAGAAAGUAACAAAAAAAUAAUAGGAUCGGAAUUGACUUUGGCGUUUCCUUACUCUCUAAGAAAAAAAAAAUCUCUUCUUUCUUCUCUUCUAUCGGUUUCUGAUAAGCACAAAGAGAGAGACUCGUGAUCAAUGGAGAAGCCUCUGCUUUCAGGUAAUUCAAUUCAAUAAAGAACCAAACUUUCUCCUCCUCUGUUUUUUAAAUUAUCUCAUCAUUUAUUAUUGGAUCAGAUAAUAAAACUAAGGAACCAGAGAGAUGGGAUUCGUACCAAUACCUUCAGAGAAACAUCUCCUCUGCUCGUAACAACGUCUCUUUCACCGGAGCUGGCGUCACCGUCGAGGAAGUCCGUUCCGCUUCCGCUGUUUCCGAUCCUCCGCCUCUCUACCCUCCCGUUCUAACCACCCCCGUCUCGUUGCCCACUCGUAAGUCUCUCCGACUUUGACCCUUAAAAGUCUGAAAGUUUCAUCCUUUUUGUCGGCUCUGUUUCACAGCGGAAGCUAUUGGCUACCCGAGUGCGUCUGGAGCAGGUCAUGAACUGCAAAGGUACAAAGGUUCCUACUUUUAGUCUCAUUGCUCUUGUUAGGAUUCAAAGAUUGAAGCUUUUACAUUUAUCUCAGGCAGGUGCUUGAUGAGAUUGAGAUAAGAGAGCUGCUGAUUGAUCACAUCGGCCACCGUUGCUGUUGGGGAAGCCGUCCAGCUCGCACGUGGAGGAUCCGUGCGGUCGAAGACUGCAAUGUCUAUGUCGGAACUCUCGACACUUUUAUCGAAGAGAGGGAAGCUUUAACACAGACAGUGCCUUUCAACGGUGGGAACUUCGAACAUGGAUCUGCUCCUGAGUUAUGGCAAAUAGACCUGAGGUCGCAGUUUCCAACUCUCUUUGUUCCUUACAAAGAGACUCGAGUCCCGGUUCCUCAUUCUGAGACUGUUGACAAGUGCAC